AACGAGCGCUGGCGGCAGGCUUAACACAUGCAAGUCGAGCGCCCCGCAAGGGGAGCGGCAGACGGGUGAGUAACGCGUGGGAAUCUACCGAGCCCUGCGGAAUAGCUCCGGGAAACUGGAAUUAAUACCGCAUACGCCCUACGGGGGAAAGAUUUAUCGGGGUUUGAUGAGCCCGCGUUGGAUUAGCUAGUUGGUGGGGUAAUGGCCUACCAAGGCGGCGAUCCAUAGCUGGUCUGAGAGGAUGAUCAGCCACACUGGGACUGAGACACGGCCCAGACUCCUACGGGAGGCAGCAGUGGGGAAUAUUGGACAAUGGGCGCAAGCCUGAUCCAGCCAUGCCGCGUGAGUGAUGAAGGCCUUCGGGUUGUAAAGCUCUCUCGCACACGACGAUGAUGACGGUAGUGUGAGAAGAAGCCCCGGCUAACUUCGUGCCAGCAGCCGCCGUAACAC
rnacentral:rRNA from 1 species